GUCACUCCAGAAGCCACUGAGACCGUCACUCCAGAAGCCACUGAGACCACUGUCACUCCAGAAGACACUGAGACCACAGGCUCAUCAAAAGCCACAAGACCCCGGGGCCAGAAGGCAAAAAAAAGACAAAAUCCAGUCCAACAGAGGGUAGCCAGCAAGAUGAAGCCAAAAAAAAAGUAUGAGUGUCCAGAAUGCUGUUGGAGAGUGAGGCAAAACAACUUUGACUACUCCAAGGUUUUGAAAAGAAGAGUGAGAGAGGGAACAGAGGAGGUCCUCAUUUGUUGGGUUCCAUGCAAGACCUGUGGGACCAAAUGGAAAGACUCCUGGGAGCCCUCCUCCCUUCUUGAAUAAUGAAUUAAACAUUUUUAAAAAUUUUGUAUUUUCUUUUAUAAUGAAUAAAAUAACUACAAACAUAAACAAAGUUAUUGGCUUGUUAUUCAUUGUCUAAAUUGCAUAUGCUAUAUAGAGUACAUACAGAUCUUUAGAAAUAACCUAAUUAAAAAUCCUCUGUUAAUUGUCAGUUUUGUAUGAAUACUGUUAUAUCUACUUCUGUACGUCUGUUAUGUUCUCACCUGUGUUUGUCUGUGUAUGUAGUUAUAUAUGUACUGUCUAUAUAUUGGUUGUAAGCAGGAUUUCUUGUAACUUGGUGGAUGGGUAGGACAUGGUCCAGGAAGAAAGCUAUUAUAUUUUGUGGCAGUUUAAAUUUUAGAUUAAUUAAAUUUGAUGUAGUUGGAGACAUUUGCUCUACUUUAUGCCCUUAAUGUUCAGGUUUGUGUCCUUCUGUCCAGAUGACAUUGAGCGGAGAACAUCAUGAUGGUGCUGGUUCCACCCCAGGGCAGGAAGUAGAACAGUAGUUGGCAUGCCGUGUAGAUGUACUAUCGUUAUCUGCCUCUGUAUUUAGAUAGAAGACCAGUAGUAGUUGUAUCUUUUGAUCUAUUAUUCAUUGGCAAUGCAAUAAUUAUCCAUUCAAAGCAUCAAAUUGAUUUAAUAUUGGCAUAUAACUAUAAAUAGAUUUAAAUACAUAGAAAGAGAACUGUUUCAAUUUCCAAGAAACAAAUGUUACUUGUUUUAUACAAGCUGAACAGGACUGAACAAAAUAACCUGUAUUAUGAAUAUCAGGUGGUCAGAGAACAAAUAUAAAAUAAUGGUUCAUACACUAAUAAUAAUUAUCUUGUCUUUUUAGACUUCUAAAGCUAUACAGAUCCACUUUGGGAACUGGAAACCCUUAAAGCUCACCUUCACCUGGAAAUGAGAGAAUGGGUAUAUGGUCUCGGUGACUUGACAGAGGAUGCUACCUAUGGGCUCAACAGUCUCAUCAAUCGGAGGUCACUCAGAAGUCAACACAGACAGGCUGUAAAUGCAUACAGCAGUAUAGGCGCUUUCGAUAACAUUGAGGACAGGACCGGUGCACUGAAGAUGUGUACUAAAUAAACCUGCCUUGCUUUUAUGUCAAAAAGCC